AUAUGGUCAAGUGAAGAAGCGCAUACGGUGGAUGCCUUGGCAGUCAGAGGCGAUGAAAGACGUGAUAGCCUGCGAAAAGCUUCGGGGAGGUGGCAAAUAACCUUUGAUCCGGAGAUGUCUGAAUGGGGGAACCCACCUAACAUAAGUUAGGUAUCUUGCACUGAAUACAUAGGUGUAAGAGGCGAACCAGGGGAACUGAAACAUCUAAGUACCCUGAGGAAUAGAAAUCAACCGAGAUUCCCUUAGUAGUGGCGAGCGAACGGGGACUAGCCCUUAAGCUUCUUUGAUUUUAGCGGAACGCUCUGGAAAGUGCGGCCAUAGUGGGUGAUAGCCCUGUACGCGAAAGGAUCUUAGAAGUGAAAUCGAGUAGGACGGAGCACGAGAAACUUUGUCUGAAUAUGGGGGGACCAUCCUCCAAGGCUAAAUACUACUGACUGACCGAUAGUGAACUAGUACCGUGAGGGAAAGGCGAAAAGAACCCCGGAGAGGGGAGUGAAAUAGAUCCUGAAACCGUAUGCGUACAAGCAGUGGGAGCAGACUUUGUUCUGUGACUGCGUACCUUUUGUAUAAUGGGUCAGCGACUUAUUUUCAGUGGCAAGCUUAACCGAAUAGGGGAGGCGUAGCGAAAGCGAGUCUUAAUAGGGCGUUUAGUCGCUGGGAAUAGACCCGAAACCGGGCGAUCUAUCCAUGGGCAGGUUGAAGGUUAGGUAACACUGACUGGAGGACCGAACCGACUACCGUUGAAAAGUUAGCGGAUGACCUGUGGAUCGGAGUGAAAGGCUAAUCAAGCUCGGAGAUAGCUGGUUCUCCUCGAAAGCUAUUUAGGUAGCGCCUCGUGUAUCACUGCUGGGGGUAGAGCACUGUUUCGGCUAGGGGGUCAUCCCGACUUACCAAACCGAUGCAAACUCCGAAUACCAGCAAGUGUCAGCACGGGAGACACACGGCGGGUGCUAACGUCCGUCGUGAAAAGGGAAACAACCCAGACCGUCAGCUAAGGUCCCAAAGUUAUGGUUAAGUGGGAAACGAUGUGGGAAGGCUUAGACAGCUAGGAGGUUGGCUUAGAAGCAGCCACCCUUUAAAGAAAGCGUAAUAGCUCACUAGUCGAGUCGGCCUGCGCGGAAGAUGUAACGGGGCUCAAACCAUACACCGAAGCUACGGGUUCAUCUUAGGAUGAGCGGUAGAGGAGCGUUCUGUAAGCCUGUGAAGGUGAGUUGAGAAGCUUGCUGGAGGUAUCAGAAGUGCGAAUGCUGACAUGAGUAACGACAAUGCGAGUGAAAAACUCGCACGCCGAAAGACCAAGGUUUCCUGCGCAACGUUAAUCGACGCAGGGUGAGUCGGCCCCUAAGGUGAGGCAGAAAUGCGUAAUCGAUGGGAAACGGGUUAAUAUUCCCGUACUUCUAAUUACUGCGAUGGAGGGACGGAGAAGGCUAGGCCAGCACGGCGUUGGUUGUCCGUGUUUAAGGUAGUAGGCUGAGAUCUUAGGUAAAUCCGGGAUCUUAAGGCCGAGAACUGAUGACGAGUUGUCUUUUAGACGACGAAGUGGUUGAUGCCAUGCUUCCAGGAAAAGCUUCUAAGCUUCAGGUAAUUAGGAACCGUACCCCAAACCGACACAGGUGGUUAGGUAGAGAAUACCAAGGCGCUUGAGAGAACUCGGGUGAAGGAACUAGGCAAAAUGGCACCGUAACUUCGGGAGAAGGUGCGCCGGUGAG
rnacentral:rRNA from 1 species